UACGGAGGGGGCUAGCGUUGUUCGGAAUUACUGGGCGUAAAGCGCACGUAGGUGGCUUGGUAAGUUAGAGGUGAAAGCCUGGAGCUCAACUCCAGAAUUGCCUUUAAGACUGCAUCGCUUGAAUCCAGGAGAGGUGAGUGGAAUUCCGAGUGUAGAGGUGAAAUUCGUAGAUAUUCGGAAGAACACCAGUGGCGAAGGCGGCUCACUGGCCUGGUAUUGACGCUGAGGUGCGAAAGCGUGGGGAGCAAACAGG
rnacentral:rRNA from 1 species